AUGGAAAGCUUACUGCAUUAGGACUUUGCUCCGGGCUCAGCCCUUGCAGAUCAUGUGAGAAGGAAAUUUGGGUCUACAGUUCAUUUCUCCCCCUCAAGAGACACCAAAGAGUUCUUUUUGGUCGUUUCUUUCUCCUCGGCUUUGUUCCCUCUCUCUGUGGAAUCAGUGGGUAUUGCGUUGCAAUAUUGUCUUGGAGGGGGUUUCUUCUGGUUUCAAGGUGGUGCCGAUCACUACACAUUCUUUUCGUUUCUCGGUUGCCAAUAA
rnacentral:rRNA from 1 species